GUUUACGGCCACACAGCCUGGUUCACGCCCGAUCUCGUUUGAUCUCGGAAGCUAAGAUAGGUUGGGCCUGUUUAGUACUUGGAUGGGAGACCGCCUGGGAAUACCAGGUGCUGUAAGCU
ensembl:rRNA 5S_rRNA 5S ribosomal RNA